rnacentral:rRNA from 1 species
GGAUUAGAUACCCUGGUAGUCCACGCCCUAAACGAUGUCUACUAGGUCGGAGGUUCUCUGACGAAUUUCUGGCCGAAAUGAAAACGUUAAGUAGACCGCCUGGGGAGUACGGUCGCAAGGCUAAAACUCAAAGGAAUUGACGGGGGCUCACACAAGCGGUGGAGCAUGUUGCUUAAUUCGAUGCAACGCGAAGAACCUUAUCCUGGGUUUGACAUGUUAGGAUGCCUCCUUAGAAAUAAGGUUGGUUGCUCUUCGGAGUGAAACUAUCACAGGUGCUGCAUGGCUGUCGUCAGCUCGUGCCG